rnacentral:rRNA from 1 species
GAGUUUGAUCCUGGCUCAGGACGAACGCUGGCGGCGUGCCUAAUACAUGCAAGUCGAGCGGACAGAAGGGAGCUUGCUCCCGGAUGUUAGCGGCGGACGGGUGAGUAACACGUGGGUAACCUGCCUGUAAGACUGGGAUAACUCCGGGAAACCGGAGCUAAUACCGGAUAGUUCCUUGAACCGCAUGGUUCAAGGAUGAAAGACGGUUUCGGCUGUCACUUACAGAUGGACCCGCGGCGCAUUAGCUAGUUGGUGGGGUAAUGGCUCACCAAGGCGACGAUGCGUAGCCGACCUGAGAGGGUGAUCGGCCACACUGGGACUGAGACACGGCCCAGACUCCUACGGGAGGCAGCAGUAGGGAAUCUUCCGCAAUGGACGAAAGUCUGACGGAGCAACGCCGCGUGAGUGAUGAAGGUUUUCGGAUCGUAAAGCUCUGUUGUUAGGGAAGAACAAGUGCGAGAGUAACUGCUCGCACCUUGACGGUACCUAACCAGAAAGCCACGGCUAACUACGUGCCAGCAGCCGCGGUAAUACGUAGGUGGCAAGCGUUGUCCGGAAUUAUUGCGCGUAAAGGGCUCGCAGGCGGUUUCUUAAGUCUGAUGUGAAAGCCCCCGGCUCAACCGGGGAGGGUCAUUGGAAACUGGGAAACUUGAGUGCAGAAGAGGAGAGUGGAAA